rnacentral:rRNA from 1 species
UACAGAGGUCUCAAGCGUUGUUCGGAUUCAUUGGGCGUAAAGGGUGCGUAGGUGGCAAGGCAAGUCAGGUGUGAAAUCUCGGGGCUCAACCCCGAAACUGCACUUGAUACUGCCUGGCUCGAGUACUGGAGAGGAGAUUGGAAUUUACGGUGUAGCAGUGAAAUGCGUAGAUAUCGUAAGGAAGACCAGUGGCGAAGGCGAAUCUCUGGACAGUUACUGACACUGAGGCACGAAGGCCAGGGGAGCAAACGGG